GCAGAGAACGACUCACACCUGCCAGCAGACAGGGCUAUAAAAGAGGCAAGGCCUGACUCUUAUGAGGGAGGAGGAGUUGAAAUUAGAGGCAGUUGCUGAUUGGUAUCUAAGAUAGCAGGAGCUUCCUGCCAGAGAGAAAGAAGCUCCUGGAGCAUGAGGUGAGGAGAAGCCGGACUGCAGGAGGAAGCACAUGAAAAAGUCAGCUGUAAAAGAAGAUCAAAGCCAAACAAGAGGCUCAACCGUUACUUCCACAGACGAAUUCCCCAUCAACCAACAGGCAGGGCCAAAUGAAAAUGAGUGGGUAUGAUCCUGUGUGCUGUCUCAAAAUGAUGAUAUCUAAAAGCAAGAGUGUUCUCAACUUUCAAGAGACAAAAGAAAAACCCAAGCAUGUGUGUCUAACAAGGCAGGAACCUAAACAGCAACAAGUAGAGGUAAUAGACUGAAAUGCAAGAAUGCACAGCAAAUUAUUUUAUAUUAAAGAA